UGCAUAAAACGACAGAACCAUGUCACGUGGCGGUGGUAAUUAAAAAAGGGGGAGAGAUUCGGGGAUAUAGCAACGGUCAGAGUCGGAUCGAGUGUUCGCGGGCACCUGAGGCUUCGAUUUCACCUAAACAUCUCUCUUACAUGUAGCUCAACUGAUCAACUUUUGCCUGAAACAUUUUUUAUCUACACUACUGCAAAUACCUGCAAAAUAGUGGCAUAACUUAAGGAGCAAACCUCGUAUAUUUAUACAACUCUUUAAUAAUAUCUUCUUGGAUUUUCAGGCUCGUAUCAGUUCACUUAAAUACAGGCUUGGAUUUUAUCUGGCCACUAAAACUAGAACAUGUUUGGGACGUCUUUUAGAAAUCUGCUAGAAGCAGAAGCCCCUGAGCCACGGCAACCGAAGUUCACGCCUGCAUCCGACCCUGGUGAUAGUACGCACACUCCUGAUCGCGCCAGGCUAAUUAGUCACAUGGGUUCGAAAUAGUCGCGCGAAUAAUCAAGAUUGGCAGAAGCACGAGUAUUCCGCGGAACAGUUUCAAGCAAGAUGCGCAAUCUCGGUGUUUAAUCAUGUGCAAAGCGACACUCUGUGCGAUAAUACACUGCGAGAGGAAAAUUUUCAUCGUGGAUACUCACCGAAAAUGGUAGGG